rnacentral:rRNA from 1 species
UACGUAGGGGCCAAGCGUUGUCCGGAUUUAUUGGGCGUAAAGAGCUCGUAGGCGGUUCGGCAAGUCAGCUGUGAAAUCUCCACGCUCAACGUGGAGGGGUCAGCUGAUACUGCUGUGACUCGAGUCCGGUAGGGGAGUGUGGAAUUCCCGGUGUAGCGGUGAAAUGCGCAGAUAGUCGGGAGGAACACCAGUAGCGAAGGCGGCACUCUGGGCCGGGUACUGGACGCUGAGG